rnacentral:rRNA from 1 species
AUUGAACGCUGGCGGCAGGCCUAACACAUGCAAGUCGAACGAGCGGCGGACGGGUGAGCAAUGUAUGGGGAUCGGCCCGAUGGAGGGGGAUAACUAAUGGAAACGGAGGCUACAACCGCCUACAAUCGGAUGAACCGAAUUGGGAUUAGCUAGGGGGUGGGGUAAAGGCCCACCUAGGCGACGAACUCUAGCGGGUCUGAGAGGAGGAUCAGCCACACUGGAACUGAGACACGGCCCAGACUCCUACGGGAGGCAGCAGUGGGGAAUAUUGCACAAUGGGCGAAAGCCUGAUGCAGCCAUGCCGCGUGUGUGAAGAAGGCCUUCGGAUUGUAAAGUACUUUCAGCGGGGAGGCGUUACCCACAGAAGAAGCACCGGCUAACUCCGUGCCAGCAGCCGCGGUAAUUC